AUUGAACGCUGGCGGCGUGCUUAACACAUGCAAGUCGUGCGGUAACAGGCGUAGCAAUACGUGCUGACGAGCGGCGAACGGGUGCGUAAUACAUGGGAAUCUGCCUUUUAGUGGGGAAUAACCCGGCGAAAGCCGGGCUAAUGCCGCAUAAGAUCUUCGGAUGAAAGCGGGGGAUCGUAAGACCUCGCGCUGAUAGAUGAGCCCAUGCCGGAUUAGCAGUUGGUGAGGUAACGGCUCACCAAGGCGACGAUCCGUAGCUGGUCUGAGAGGACGGCCAGCCACACUGGGACUGAGACACGGCCCAGACUCCUACGGGAGGCAGCAGUGGGGAAUAUUGGACAAUGGGGAACCCUGAUCCAGCGACGCCGCGUGUGUGAAGAA
rnacentral:rRNA from 1 species